rnacentral:lncRNA from 1 species
GCCUAUUGUCACCCCCUACAACCAUUAUAUAUUCAAGGCCAUAAACAUUAGACAUUUAGACUCAGGUUUCCAUUCACAUGCAUGAUGGAGCUCCAAUAAUUAGUAAGAGACUUGAAGCAUUUGACAGUAUAUGACACUAAUAGGAUGGAUCAACAAGGCAAAGAGGAAACAAAAUGGAUGAAUUCACCUUGAUUCAUAAACUCAUUGGGGUUGCUGCUACUUCCCGUCGCAUGAUGAUCGCUGGACCGAGCCACCGUGCUGAUCGAUGACAUGCUCCUCUGCGAUUGGAUUCUGCCGUUCUCCGUCUCAUGAGCACUCGUGCUCCUGAAUUUGAAUGUCCGUGUAAGCUACUUCUAGGUAUGUGCCUUUGCUAUGUUGGUACUGUUUUCAUAGCGAACAUAACCUUUUAAUUCUAUGACUCUCAAUGUCUACAUCUAAAUGGAGCCUAAAUAGACUCCAAUGCACAGGAUGGCAAAACGAUACGCUACGACCCCAUUUGUCUGGCGUCGGCCUCGGCGUAGCCACCAGCACGACAUGGUUGGAUGCGACACGAUGCGGUGAUCCUGUCGCUCUUGUGUCCAGGACCCUUUGCACGCUUGGCUCCUCUCACGUCACAUCGAGCCGCGGUGGCGGGUGCCUGUGGAUGACAAAUGGAGAGAGGGAAUGGACGAUCGGGACAGAGGAAGAGGAACGACAACUCUGCUUUGGAUUUCAGCAUGGGUUACCUGAUCUGGAUCAGGACGGGCGAGAUCGGCGGCCGGAGCGGAGGCCGAGAUUGGGGAACAGAACAAAUUGAUUCGGAGGUGCAUGCUUGCG